CACGUAGGGCGCAAGCGUUGUCCGGAAUUAUUGGGCGUAAAGAGCUCGUAGGCGGUCUGUUGCGUCCGCUGUGAAAACUCGGGGCUUAACCCCGAGCCUGCAGUGGAUACGGGCAGACUAGAGGUAGGUAGGGGAGAAUGGAAUUCCCGGUGUAGCGGUGAAAUGCGCAGAUAUCGGGAGGAACACCGGUGGCGAAGGCGGUUCUCUGGGCCUUACCUGACGCUGAGGAGCGAAAGCGUGGGUAGCAAACAGG
rnacentral:rRNA from 1 species